UGAGGAAUAUUGGACAAUGGGCGCAAGCCUGAUCCAGCCAUGCCGCGUGCAGGAUGACGGUCCUAUGGAUUGUAAACUGCUUUUUGUACAGGAAGAAACAGUUCUACGUGUAGAACCUUGACGGUACUGUAAGAAUAAGGAUCGGCUAACUCCGUGCCAGCAGCCGCGGUAAUACGGAGGAUCCAAGCGUUAUCCGGAAUCAUUGGGUUUAAAGGGUCCGUAGGCGGUUAGAUAAGUCAGUGGUGAAAGCCCAUCGCUCAACGGUGGAACGGCCAUUGAUACUGUCUGACUUGAAUUAUUAGGAAGUAACUAGAAUAUGUAGUGUAGCGGUGAAAUGCUUAGAGAUUACAAGGAAUACCAAUUGCGAAGGCAGGUUACUACUAAUGGAUUGACGCUGAUGGACGAAAGCGUGGGUAGCGGACAGGAUUAGAUACCCGGGUAGUCCCUGAGCGGGCUGGCAAGGCGCAU
rnacentral:rRNA from 1 species